GUACAAAAAUGUAAUUUGACCAGGGAUACACAUUUUUAAGAAGCAUGUACAAGGGACUGCAAGCUGGUAGAAGAGGAAGUUCAGCAGACUUUUAAACGCUCCAGGGGCAGGCUAGGGAUUUCACCCAUGAACCCUAAUAUCCCAUUAUAUAGCAUGUAAAUGAAUCUUGCAAUGAAGACGUGAAGAUAGAAAGGCAGAUUGAAUGUGAAUAAUGGUGGGAGUCUCCAGGUUGCAGAUGAAGCAUCGGUGUGUUUCAAUUUCAUCUCAAGUUCAUCAUGGUUGAAACACACAAGACACAUCUCACCAAUUUUGAAUGCCAGAGCAACACAAAGUUUCAACAACAACACUGAUUUAGACUGUUAUUUGUUUGAUUUCUUCAAUUUCAUCUCAUCAAUCCGACCACCUGCUUAGGUUUUCCUCAACUCUUCUGCUGUACAGAGUCAUCACCGGCAGGUUUUGGCUGUUGAUUUUGCUCUCUAAGCAAGGGUUUGUUGUUGAGUAAUCCAAUAUGGAUUCAGAUUUCAGAAACAUGUAAGGGUGGGGCUACGGAUGUUUUACCACAACCACCACCUGUUCCAGAAGACCUCGUUCCAAUCAAAGCUGAGCCAGAAGCCAAGAAGAAGGUCGUGCGUGUACCCAUGGCUAGGACGGACUCCAACGACCUGAAACAUCAAAUCAUAUAUUGGUUUCUUGUGAUGUAGCGAGAACCAUUUGGUUUGUCGUAGCAUCUUUGAUAGCCAUCUUCCCAGCCAACGGUCACUAGCGGUAAGAUUUUUAACGGUCGAGGACAAAUUAAAAAGAAAUCUGUGGGGUAAAAACUGAACUGAAUUAGAAUUCGGUUGUCAAGUUAGUUUUGCCAACUUCGUCGACUAGAUUUAUUUUCGACCAAAAAGUAUUCAAUCUUUAAACUUUUAUUGUCGUGUGAACCUUUGCAGAUUGAGAAGCCUUUGCAUUGACAUGGUGGUAGGCUUGAGCAUAAUUAAACAAACCAAUAUGUUUGUGUUUAUAGUAGUAGACAUUGGUCAACGAUGACAAUCAUAUGCUAUUACCUGAUCAUUUGUCAAAUUUAGUAAAUACAAAUAUCAUCAGCUGAUUGAUAUUUGAUAAUUUAUCAAUGUUUGAGCAUGUGGCAUGUGUAAAAUUUGAUGAACUUUUGUUGUACUGAUUUUACUUUUUGGUUCACUGACUGUUCUUUGCCAGAUGGAUAGGAGAACCAGUGGGUUAAAUCUGACUGGAAGCAAGAUGAGAACAUUGCUGGGAAGUGGAAUUAUUAAUUAUACAUCUGGCAAAUGGAAUACGAAUGCGAAAAUAUAUUACAAAAAUGAUUUUUUAAGGUGUUUGUUUAUAUAUGGUCAGUGUUGAUUAUUUUUUUAAUCUAUUUGUUUAUUUUUGCAGUCAUUUUUAGUGAUGCUAAGGCACAAGAAGCGUGUUGGGUAAACAGGAAAUGACACUGAAACUCAAAGCUCUGGAAAUAUUGGUCAAGAUCAACUGCCCAAAUGCUACUCAGAGUUCUUAUUAAUGAUUGCAGCCCAUCUAUAUCAAUAGAUAACAUCAGGCUUAAUAAAUGAGGCACCGAAGGUGAAUGCGGUGCCAGAAAAAAAAGGAAGAAGGGGAGGCGUCAAACGCAGCCCACGACGAAGGUGAAGAAGAAGAGAAAAUUGAGGGAGUAGUGGUGGCGGCUCCUCGUAGAAUGACAAGACGCGAUAUCUAAUGACAGAUGCACUGUUGAAGAAUCUAUAGUUAGUAGCUUUCUUUGAGUGGUUUAAUUGUUCGGUUCGGUUAAGGUUGGUUUAAUUCGGUUAUAUACUCACUCCUAGAACAUACAUAUACUUGUAAUACUAAAGCAGUCAGCUAGACUUUCUCUGCGUAUGUUUGACCUUAUAGGUUCAAUGACUAUUUUUUGUUGAAUGACAUAAAAUGUUAGAAACC